rnacentral:rRNA from 1 species
UACGAAGGGGGCUAGCGUUGCUCGGAAUCACUGGGCGUAAAGGGUGCGUAGGCGGGUCUUUAAGUCAGGGGUGAAAUCCUGGAGCUCAACUCCAGAACUGCCUUUGAUACUGAGGAUCUUGAGUUCGGGAGAGGUGAGUGGAACUGCGAGUGUAGAGGUGAAAUUCGUAGAUAUUCGCAAGAACACCAAUGGCGAAGGCAGAUCUCUGGGCCGUAACUGACGCUGAGGAGCGAAAGCGUGGGGAGCAAACAGGG